rnacentral:rRNA from 1 species
AGGACGAACGCUGGCGGCGUGCUUAACACAUGCAAGUCGAGCGGAAAGGCCCUUCGGGGUACUCGAGCGACGAACGGGUGAGUAACACGUGAGUAACCUGCCCCAGACUUUGGGAUAACCCUCGGAAACGGGGGCUAAUACCGAAUAUGACUUUAGCCCGCAUGGGUUUUUGUGGAAAGUUUUUCGGUUUGGGAUGGACUCGCGGCCUAUCAGCUUGUUGGUGAGGUAAUGGCUCACCAAGGCGAGGACGGGUAG